rnacentral:rRNA from 1 species
AGUGAGAAUGCCGGUAUGAGUAGCGAAAGACAAGUGAGAAUCUUGUCCAUCGAAAGCCUAAGGUUUCCUGAGGAAGGCUCGUCCGCUCAGGGUUAGUCGGGGCCUAAGCCGAGGCUGAAAAGCGUAGGCGAUGGAUAACAGGUUGAUAUUCCUGUACCACCUCCUUUCCGUUUGAACAAUGGGGGGACGCAGUAAGGUAGGGUGAGCGCACUGAUGGAAUAGUGCGUCUAAGCAGUUAGGC